UGGGGGAAUUUUGGACAAUGGGCGAAAGCCUGAUCCAGCAAUGCCGCGUGUGUGAAGAAGGCCUUCGGGUUGUAAAGCACUUUUGUCCGGAAAGAAAUCCUCUGGGUUAAUACCUCGGGGGGAUGACGGUACCGGAAGAAUAAGCACCGGCUAACUACGUGCCAGCAGCCGCGGUAAUACGUAGGGUGCAAGCGUUAAUCGGAAUUACUGGGCGUAAAGCGUGCGCAGGCGGUUUUGUAAGACGGAUGUGAAAUCCCCGGGCUUAACCUGGGAACUGCAUUCGUGACUGCAAGGCUAGAGUAUGGCAGAGGGGGGUAGAAUUCCACGUGUAGCAGUGAAAUGCGUAGAGAUGUGGAGGAAUACCGAUGGCGAAGGCAGCCCCCUGGGCCAAAUACUGACGCUCAUGCACGAAAGCGUGGGGAGCAAACAGGAUUAGAUACCCUGGUAGUCCACGCCCUAAAACGAUGUCAACUAGUUGUUGGGGAUUCAUUUCCUUAGUAACGUAGCUAACGCGUGAAGUUGACCGCCUGGGGGAGUACGGUCGC
rnacentral:rRNA from 1 species